CAUCCCUUUAUAAUGUUUAUUAGAAAUAUGAAAAAUAUCAUACAAAAUAGAGAAACAUAAGAGCAGUGCUUCUGAACAAAUCAAUCGGGAAGUUCUGGAAGGCUCAAAAGUAAGCAAGACGGAGACACAGGGUGGAAUGGGUUAAACCCACUAUGCACACAUGAAACACACUACAUGAUAUAAACAUUUCUUAGAAAUAUGAAAUUCAGCUGGAAAAUAGAUUGGCCAAAGGCAUAAGAAAGAGGAAGAAAGAGAGUGAAAGAGAGGGAGAGUGAAAGGGAGAAAGCAAUCAUUAAGAACUCAAAAUUUAGCAAAAUGAGAAAAGUUACCUAAAAGACUCAUGAUUCUCAGCCUGAGCUCAUACCAGUCUGUCCUGUCUGCAGUGUGGCACAUGUGAGGAACAGAACUUUCAGGCUUGUCAUCAGCCUGACAAUGCUCGUGUGGAGUUGGUUUUGGGCCUGGCACGGGAGUGGGGAGGCCACCAACCCUCAUGCCACUCCACAGAAAGGCCUCCUGGGGCCUCAACUCUGCUCACUGGGAACUCUCACUCCCAGAGGGGAAUCCAGGAGUCCAGGAGCAGAGAGCUGAUAUUCCUCCUGUCCCCAGGCCUGUUUCCAUGGUGACAGCGACCCUCACGCUGUGAACACCAAGAAGGGAAGCCAGAUCACAGGUCCUUGGAAGCAGAGCAAGCUCUCCCUCCUGGGGGCCUCCUUGCCAGCUCCUCUCAGCCCCAGCCCCCAGCCCCCAGCCCCCAGCACGGAAGUCCUUUGUCUCUAGCUGUGUCUGUAACUGCCUUGCUGCCCCUCGGCCUCCCCUCCAGCCCCCCUUCUCUGUCUGCCGAGUAGCACAUGUUCUCCCGCCUCCUGAUUGAUCUACUCAGGGAGAAUGGGGGGAAACGACUCUUUAAUUAAUCUCCUGCCUUAAUUAAUUAUUGUAAUGGCUUUCAACUUGGGGGGAACGAGGGCCACAAUGUACUUAACAUGUUUUUAUGUCGACGAACACAUUUUCUACUUUGCAGAGAAAGAAGAGGCCUGUUUUGGGUUUGGGGCUGCGGAGUGAUUUAUAAAGGGCAUUAACACCAGAGGACUCCUGCUGCGGACUCAUGGGUUGGCUUUCUCUGCACCUGUGACUGAGCACACGGCUACUGAGCUGCCUGCUGGCAAUCAAGGGAGCCAGCCAGGGCUGCAGGAGGGGGGUCUAGAGGGGACUGUGGUCACCCUGGUGUCCUGGAAAGUCACUAGUUGAAGAAAAUGGCAGAAUCUUCCUCUCAGCGUUCUGCUGAGGAUUAAGCAAGGUCAUGUAUGUACAGCCCUUAGCAGCACUCAUCGUCACAGACUCCAAUUCAGAAGAUUCCAGAUUUGGGCCAGGCCAACUCUGACUCAUCCCAAUAUUAAGAGCAUGUUUAAAGUACAAUCUUGAGUGUUCCUUCCAUCAGUAACUACUUAUUGAGCACCUACUACAUGCCAAGCACUGCGGUGGACCGCAGGACUAGAACAACAAAGAAGACAGACACGAGGCCAGAUUUCAUGGAGCUUCUCACCUGGUGGGAGGCAAGGGAGAGUCGUGAAUAAACAUCAAACAAGGACACAAAGAAUGAGUUUCUCUGCAUUGUGAUGAGGAAGCAAAGACGCCAAGGGAGCAUAUGACCAGGAAGCUGACCUCGUCUGGGUGGUCACGGAUGAUUUGUCUUCACCUCUUUCUUCUUCCUGCUGAUGGGAAUGACAGCACGAUGGCUGGAGCUUUGCAGCCAUCUUGAACGAUGAGGCACAGGUGCUGGAUGAGGGGCCUGCAUUCCUGAUAACCUUGUGAAGGUACCUAAGCCCCCUCUGUAUUCUCUACUCCUAACUUACAGGGAGAAAAUGACUUUUAUAUUGUCUAAAGAUGGUGUUGUUUUCACUGAACUGCUGAAGUGGAGUUAGUGUUGCACACACCGCCUCUUCAUUAGACUGUAAGAACCUUGGGGGAAGAUGGAGGGCAGCACCCAGCACAGGGCCUUCCUAUAGAAGGGAGUCUCAGUGGCUAUUUGUGGAAUUCGCUGAUUAAGCAGGAAGGAGUUGAGAGGAGACAGAAGAAUCACUGGACAGACAAAUCAAGGGACAAGAAGCUUGAACCAUUUCUAGAGACGUCUGAGGACGGAGCCGAAAGAAGGUGAGACAGAGACUCAGCAGCCAAGGACAGGGCCUGAUUGAACAAGUUAAAGGACUUGAACCCAGGGAGAUAAGUGACUUCUGAAACAAGUACCUUAAGGUGUUGGAGGGCUCCUCAGGGACAGCUUGAUGCUGACUGUGGCCUUGAGUGUAAUGUCCAAGGAAGACCCAAGAAAUGGGGAGCAGAGGGACCUGGGUUUAAAUCCUGCCACUUAACAGCUGAGUGAGUUCAGGAAGCUUGGAAGUGGACCCUUCCCAGUCGAGCCUCCAGAUGAGAAUCCAGCUCUGACUGGCACUGUUGGCAGCUCUGCAGAGGACCUGCUAAGCCAUGCCCAGGAACUGUGAGAUACUAAAUGUGUGUUGUUUUAAGCUGCUAAGUUUUUGGUGACUUGUGACAUGGCAUAGAAAACAAAUAGAGGUGCUAUAUCAAGAAUAUGUUAUGGAAUACAUAAGGAAUAUAAAACUUCCCCUUUUCCUGCACGUCAACCCCAAGAGGGGGCAUUAUUUCCCCCAUUUAUAGAGAAAACUGAGGCUUAGCAGAGCAGCUAAAUUCCCUGAGACCACGCAGCUCCUGGGGGAGGAGGAGCCAGAACACAGACCCCAGGGCCUGCUGUGAGCCAGGAGGAGCACCAAUAUCCCUGCUGCAGUGGUGGCAGCCUUACCCCGCAACGUGCUGUGCAGCGCGAUGAAGCCUUUAGCGGGGUCUGCCCCGCCCAGUCCUCCACAGACCGCACCCCUCCCUGGUGCCUGGGACCCAGCUGCUUCUCACGGUUCUCUGGCACCUAUCUGGUCCCUGAGGGCAUUUCAGUUUCUAACUCCUGCAUAACUAGGGCACUGGUAGUUAGAUCCCAAGUAGAUCCAGCCCUGGUUUCUCAAGGGCUUGGGAGCAAAAGGCAAGAGUCUAACUCCCCUGGAAUAAGGCAGAGGCAAGGAGACAGCACAUGCACCCCCUUCCUGAGCUGUGAGGCCACAAUGAGUCACUCCCACAACAUCCAUGUGUCCCAGGGUCACUGCACCCUCUGCACCCUGGGCUGGGCCUGACCUGUCACUUGACUCCAAGGAAAAGCAAGUGCAGCAGAGGAGGGAGAGAGAAGCGC
rnacentral:lncRNA from 1 species